UCUGCUCCUGUCUGUCAGGACUGCUGACGACUGCUUGGUAGGAGGGCAGUAAUCUGAGCUGCCUCUGCUGAGCAAACCUCCUGCAUUUUACUGCGGGAUUAGCGCUGAGGUGCCUCUGCGCACAGCACCUGUAUCUGCUACUCGUUAUCUUAAUCGCCCUGCUCCCGUCACUCCUUUUCUCGAGGCGGUAGUGCCGUUCCCUCCGCCGAGGACCGCGCACAUCAAGCAGCAGGCUGCCUUUGCAGCAGGGAUGGGAAUACCUGAGACUUGGGCUGAUGUCUCACAAGGUUAAACGGGCUCUCUCUUCCCUCAUGACUGCAGUGGGACUAAUCACACAAUAAGGAUUACUCAUGUGAGUAAAACUUGCAGGCCUGAACUGCUCAGAGACAUGCACACUCACAUUUGUUCUUCCCAGCCUUGAGAAAGCCAUCUCCCAGCCUGGGAUGUGGGCAGAGGAAUAUUUUCCAGGGCCUUGAGCUUUUUAGCAGCAGUCACAAGGUUAAUUUGAGCUGUCUUCUGACCUUCUGACCUGCAACAUGCUCUGGGGUGAAAGGUGCUUUGUUCCCUGUCCCAGUUUUGUCUGAGCCUCUGAGGAAUGGACAGUCUGAGGAGAUGACAUGCUGUCCAAAUAAUGGAGAAAGGUCCAGCAGUGUCAGCUUUAUUUGGCAUUAAUCAUCAUCAUCAUUUUCUGUUUUAGCAGACAGUAGGAUGGGAUGGCUCCUUUGCAGUAUCCUAUACCAUUUUUUUUUCUUUCAAAAAUCUCUCAGCAACUUCACAAUCCAAUUCCUGUCCAGUGGAUGGUUUGGUCAGAUCCAGUCCUGCAACACUUUGUUGAAAACGAGUCGCUGAAAUGAAGGAACUAAGACAACACUUUUUGAAUAACCUAACAAUCCUCUGCAUGUGAUCUAGAGGCAGUAAAGUGUGCUAGAUACAGCUCUGGCCUUGGAAUCAGGACACUGGCUUGUAAUUACUGUUGUUAUCUGCUUUUUUUACCUGCAGUGAGCACUGCUCAUGAGUUAGGAACCAGCAGUGCUUGCUGCCAUAAAAGCAGAGCAAAAGGCAAAUCCGGGCCCCCUGGGGCUGCAGAAGUCUCCAGGUAUGCCCUGUGGUAUCAGGCAGUCCUCAUCAGCCCAAAGGGCACUGUGGUCAUCAUUGCAGCCCUGCAGCCUUUGGGGUGGAUUGAGCGGGUCGUGUUUAUUUGUGCUAGAAGUGUAUUGCCUGUGAAAUUCCAGGGUGCAGUUACUUGGUCCAAGUGCAUUCAUUUUGUCAGUGACAUUUGGUGUGAAGUAUUUGUGUUUGGAAUUUGAGAAGCACUGUGUUGCAUAGCAGCAUUAGUGACCCGAGAGCUGCUUUGAAAGAAGCCAUUGCAGUUGUGAACAGCUCAAGAGAUUUGUCUUCUGAAACAGAAGGCUCUAUGUGGUGUUUUCCAUCCUCUGUAAGAUUCUUCCUACUCCUCUUGUGUAGCAAGAAACAAAUGUGAUGUUCGAAUGUUUUUGUGCCCAUCACACUAUUUGUGUCAUUUCCAUAGAAGUAAUUCACAAAUAAAUAAACAUGCCAUUGUAACAGUCUCAUUAAAUAGGAAUGCAGCUCCUUUUGAAGGUGAUACACUUGUGCCUAUUAGGUAUGUGAGGGUAGUUCUCAAAGCAACGCUCAGAAGCAGAAAGUCAUGUGCUUUCUUGUGCAUUCAUGCACUGAGCUGUGUUUUCUCUUAAUCUCAUCUGCACCAACAGGUUGGUGUUACGGAAAACGUAUUUGAGACUGCUUUGAGAAAAAAGCAGUUUCUUCAGAGAAACUGUUCCCAGCAUCAGGACAUAAAAAAGCUCUGGCUAUUACUGAGCACACUUCUGCAACUUGAAAUUCUGUGAUGUGUGUUUGGUGACAAACAUCAGUAGCUGCGGUGGUACAACUGAUCUUUGCAGCUUUUCUCUGCCAUGCGGUGGUUAUGCACACUUCCUUGGAUUCAGGCAUGUGAGACCCCAUUCUAUUCCCAGCUCUGCUACACAUCUCCUGCAUGGCACUGGAUGUGUGCUUUGCUUUUUCCUAAAGAAAAAGAGCUAAGCAUUAGUUUUUCAUCAUUAAAAGUGUAUGUAAGAGGAUCUCACUUCAAUUUCGGAGUCAUUAAUAUAUCUCCUGUCACAGAACUUAACAGGCAGACAUCUUUCAUCUGAUUUGCCCUUCUGUGUGUCUGCUUAUGAGAUUUUGUAACAACCUACUUUUUUUAAGAAUGAAUUAAGGGUUGGUCGUUAACAUAAGCUGCCUAAGAAUUCUGAAGGAUCUUAUCUUUUUAAUGAAAGCGACUCCACUGUAAGCCUUCUGCUAGCCCUGAGUUCCUGCUGUCACAUUUCAGGUUCCUUACACACAUUUACUCUCAGAGGCUGGUGUUCAAAGAUUGAUUCACCAAGGAAAAAAAAAAUGCUCAAUGAGAAGAUCUUUGUUUUUCAGCGCGCUGCCAUUUCAGCUUUCCUCUAGGGAAAUAAAGAGUGCAGCGUAGUAGCUGUUGUAACUGCUUGCUGGCUGAAGAAAGCAAAGGUAGCUCAUGCUGAGGGGAGGUGGUACCUCAUUUUGUUUCUGUACAGCAGGAAUGAGUAAAGUUUUUAAAAGUGUUCUGGGUAAUUCAUUCACUGGUUACCUUUAGGGAGAUUUCUCUGUGACACUGUGCGGCCAUGGUGAGGCUUUAGUGAUUCCAUCUCUCCUUUGGGCAAAUACCCAGUGUCUUGUUAGCUCCUGUUCUGGAGAAAUAAAGAGGAAUGGGGUAGAGGCUGGAAAGAACACCCAUGGGAAUUGUCACUACAACUCACUCCCGUGCCUCAAAAGAAAAAAGCAAUUGCUUGACUGCUAGCCUCUGUGUUGUAAGGUAAGCCAAGUAGGUUACUUGAUGUCUCAGGGCCUAAUCUCCAAAAGCCAUACAUACUGACCAUCCACCAUUAUCACCUGGCACACUGAUAGGAACAGAGCAUUUGGUGAUGUUGUCUUUUCCCUGAAAUCAGGGUGGGAUUUGUUCCUAAGGUUAAGGGACCAACUUGCCUAUUUACUAGAUUGGAAGCACAACCUUUCCAACCAGUUUGUCAGCUCAAUUAUUUGGUAACCUACUUUGUUUAUGCUAUAAAACUCUGCUCCUGAAUUGAAUGUGGAUUGCCAGAGGGCACAGGAACAGCAGGGUGACUUGCUUUAAAUCCUAUGCAGAUAUUGCAUUAGGCCUUAGAGAUGUAAAAAAAAAAAAAAGAUUUCUCUUUAGCUGAUAGAUUUAUUCUCAGUCACAUUCCUGUGGUCUUGGUGCAGGAAACAGGCGGAGCAAAUGGGGCAGAAUACAGCUCAGAUAAUUUGGUUAGAAUUGCUAGAGGACCAGAGCAAAGACCAAAACACAUUCUGCACUGCUCAGGACGGGCAGACAGCAACAAGGACUCUUAACUCCCUGCAGAUUUUUAGUAGACAUUAUUUUUAAACCCAUUUGGGCUCUAAAAGCAAUUGAGGUGAGUUAGAGGGAGAUCCUCCUUGAAAGCUCAGUGAAAGACUCUUGAAGAUGUUAAUACUCACCUUGGGCUCAGACCUGCAAAAUACCUUUCAUCGCAACUCCCUCUAAGUUCAGUGUGAGGUGCUCCCUGCCUGGAAGCGUUGAGGUUUUCCCCACCAAUAAGUACCAACACAGUUAAAGGUAGGCUGAAGAUGCAUGGUUUACACUUCAGUCUGGCUCUGACCUGCCCCGGAGUCUGGAAGUUACUCCAUUCGUAAUCUCGCCACAUGUGUUGCUUACUGGGGAUUUUUGUUGGGCUGCCCAAGCAGAAAGAGCACGUUGCCUGCAAUGCGGAGUUUAUAAUGCAGUGCAAAGUGCAGGCAGAUCACUUCAGCAGAUCCUUUUGUGUGCACUGCUCCCUCGAAGGCGAUCAGCGGACCUGAUAGGAAGGCUCACUGAAAUAAAUGGUUCCCCAGUGGCUCAGUCCCGUGCACAGGCAAAUAUUCUGGUUUGAUCCAGCAAAGCUUUUAAGAUCAUGAUCAGCUUUGAGAAUACAAGUCGUUCCACUGCAAUGAUCUGGAUUACCCACUGCUGGCAGGGGAACAGCACUCAGCCCAGCAGGAUCAAGCCCUUGGAGAGAGAGGCCAUGUGCUGGAGGAAGGGACAGAGGCGACUGCCGGCACUCCUGUCACAGCAUAGCACCCUGGUAUUUAGGGCAAAAGCACUCUUGAGUUUUUUGUUUAACGCCAAUCCGCCUGAAGUCCUCAAAUCGUGCAAACUGAAAUCAACAAAGGAGGCUAAAACCUCUGACAGCAGUUUCUCUUAUUUGCUGACAGCAGCAUCGGGCACAAAAUCAAAUUCUUUCCAAGUGUCAGGUAAGUCAAAGACUGCGGAGUGCCCUAGAAGGGAAUUCUUGAGGAUUUAUGUUCCAUCAAUGAGACGAGUGAUAAUUAAAGCCUGAACAUUUCUGCUAGGCUGGGAAACAAGAAAGAACCUUCUUAAUUCUUUAAAUUCCUCAUACCAGCCUGUGAAAUAUAUUCCAUUCAUGCCUGUGUCUCGCUGCUUGUUCUCUCUGUGUCUCUUUCUUUAGUAUUCAAGCCACCUGUUUGUAACUAGUGUCCUGCAGGUUCUCAGGGCUGCUUUCUGCUCCACUCUCUCUGCCCUUGGUCCUAUUGCUUUGACACUGAGGCCUUGUUGUCUGCGAGAGACGGCACGCUGCAGCUCCCUGGCUCGCCCUGCUCCCGUAACUUCAUUCUUAGAAAGUUUCUGAGUUUCCCGGGUGAUAAAACGUGUGCAACAUUUGCUCUGACCUGAAUCAUUUCUGAAGGCAUUCAACCCUGUUUUGUUAUGAAGGUUACUCAGGGUGGGUGAUGGGGCAUGGGAAUUAUCCUGCAGUGGCAAUUCUUGAAAACUGUCAGAAAGUUGCUGCCUGCACCUUUUGCAAUGUAGAAUUGAUUUGAUUCGUUUUUUAGUAUAUGCUGAAUGAUACGUCUAACACUCAGGGUGGGACAUCAGCAGAACAAAUCAGCACACUGUGAGAGUGGCUGUCACAGUCUUCCCCAGCUAUCACCAGGUGGAAAAAACAAACAAACAAACAAAAAAAAAACCAAAAAAAAACCAAAAAAAAAAAAAAAAAAGGAAAAGAAUGAAGAAGGUAAAGAAGGGGGACAAAGAUCCAAGCCACAGCUCCUGGACUACGUAGGUCUUGGAUACAUAGCAGCUAUCAAACUGCAAUUAGACGUUGGGCUACAAUGAUAUAAUAAUGGAGUGUUCGCUAUACUUCUAGAAACCUUUGGUUAUUCACUGGAGACUAAAUUAACAAAUCAAGCAGUAUUUAAAGCUGUUAAAAAAAAAACCAAACUUAAAAUGUCAGGGGAAAAAAUGCCAAUGGUAAAUAAUUCUGGAAUGUUGUGAAUUGAGUGCAUGGGAUUUUGUUUUUCCUUUGCCCUUUAUUAUUUAUCCCAUUAAAAUAAAUAGUGCGUGCACGAUGAGUACCUCAGGUCUUACAGAGACUCGCAAAGGAAAUUUACUAACAGUUCUCAAGCAAUUACUUUGGAGUCUGAUUGUAUUCUCAUUUAUGAUGAAGUAAAUGAGAAGUAAUUGUAUGCAGACUAUGUGUAUUUUCCUUAAUACUGUAAGCAGUAUGGAAUGAUAAGACUUUGAAUGUGUGGCCUUGAUCUGUAUUCCGGUGAUCCAGGCCACUCCAAAUACUCUACUGACAUUUUUUAAUAGUUUUUAAUGACAUUUCUUGUGCAGAAAGAUCUACUAGCAUUGAUCCGAUGGCUUCAGUGAUAACUUGCUACAUUUCUGCUCAUAACCUCAGCUCAAAAGACAAGCAUUACUUCCAGUAAGAAUUAAAAAGCUUCAGAUCAUAACUUCAGUUUUGAACUUCAGAAAUACUCUGUCAUGUCCAAACUUCUCAAAAACCCCACACAUUUCUUUAAUGGCUUACUUAUAAUAUGGAAACUGAACCAAAGCCCUGGUUCUGAAAAUCCUCGGACUUAGAGUUGGGCUGUUUUUCCUGAUGAGGCUCUGAGAACUGGCAUUUUCACUUAUUUGUACCCUUGUAAAUAUUAUAUUCCUAUAGCCAAGAAUGAAUCAGUAGUGACAUUGGUGUGUCUGGCUGGCAGUCCAGAACUCAACAACAAAAUAUGAGCCCAUGUCAAACCACGUCUGGAUCUCUGACAGGCCUAGUGAGAACUGUCCUCUUGACCCUUUUGGAAGGAGAAAAGUAGAAAAAGAAUUUUGAACAACAAAAGCCAAAAUACUACAAUUUUUAGGAACUUACUGUCCUAAUGGCUUUUGAAGGAUGGAUUUCAUGGUGGAGUGUUAUGUCACACGUUCACCAUGGUUUAUUUGCCUGGAGAUAUAUUGUCUGACCAAACCUGCCAGCUCUUACAGGAACCUGAAUAUUGUCAAUAAGUACAUAAGAAUCCUCACGGGACAGUGUGCUGUCACUUUGCAAUCUCAGUAUAAAGUUUGGAUGGCACUGGCUUUCUUCGUGAAAACAAUCAUUUUCUGCUCAGUACAAAACGUUUAUUUUUAGCUGGAAACUUCAUUUCCUCCUAGAAACGUGUGAAAACUUUGUACCAGGAUCAUUGAGCAGCCUGGCCCCAGUUGUACACAUUGACUUUGUAUUUUGUGAACAUUACUAGCUCCUGCCAGCGUGGUCAAAGGUCAUUCUGAAGCAUCUCUGCCAUCAGAAAACAGCUCACAGCUAAUAUUAUGCCAAAUUAACAGACAGGGUUUUAAUGCCACCUUGGUUAUGUAUGAAUACUUGCAGAAGGAAUGACAGUCCUGUUUUGAGCAAAGCUCGUGGGCAUACACUUCAGAAUAAGCAUGAGGGCGUGUGCUUUCUUGGGCUGUGUCUUAGAUGUGAUGAAUGCCGUGUUGCCUUCAUUUCUCCCAGAUUUGUUUUAAAAAUUAGAAAGAAUGUCCGUGACAGGUAAUUAGAAAAGUAAUAAGCAGACUGAAGAAAGCCACUAAAGAAAGCUGAGCAGCGGUCUUACACUGUGAUGGCCUAUGAGCUUUGAUGUGGUAUUGUGAAGCCUGACAUUUCAUUGCUAAGCUGCUCCAAGAGGAGAAAGAGCUUGUGGAAAUCUAUCACUAUUGCUGCCUUUAACAAAAUGUGCCAGCCAGGUAGGUACUUCUGCAGGAGAAAGAUUUAGAUGAGGUCUAAUGACCAAAGAAAAUUCUGAUUUUGAUCAUUGGAAGUAAUAAGAUGCUUGUUCCUGAGAUGCCUGAAAUAGUUUUGCCCCCAAAUAAAUCAGAUUUUACUGUGCCAUAGAAGUAGGUGGAUUGUUAGAUGGGAACUGUUGUGCCCCCUCAGCAAACAUUUGAUUUCCUUUUAGAAGAAAAAAAGAUAAUUUUCAAUCCAGUUAUGGUUUGUGAGGCUGCGGAACUCAAUUUGCUGAGCAGAUUCAUGUACAAAGACAGUUCAGCCUCUCAUCAGACCGGCACCUCAUCCACCUGCGUUUGGGAAGGCACGUAAGCCUCUGUUACUUGGAGCCUGCGUGUGUCUUAUUGUUGUGGACUUCAGACCCUGCUGCAAAUGAAGCAUGUGCACAGAACUCAGGAAUGUGCUUAGCAGCCCUACUGACUCUCAGCACGCUCCUGAAUUAGGAUUUGAAAGCUGAGGCUGAU
rnacentral:lncRNA from 1 species